AUGAACGCUGGCGGCGUGCCUCAUCCAUGCAAGUAGCACGCUGAAGGGAGGAGCUUGCUCUUUCCGGAUGAGUUGCGAACGGGUGAGUAACGCGUAGGUAACCUGCCUGGUAGCGGGGGAUAACUAUUGGAAACGAUAGCUAAUACCGCAUAACAGUAGAUGUUGCAUGAUAUCUACUUAAAAGGUGCAAUUGCACCACUACCAGAUGGACCUGCGUUGUAUUAGCUAGUUGGUGAGGUAACGGCUCACCAAGGCGACGAUACAUAGCCGACCUGAGAGGGUGAUCGGCCACACUGGGACUGAGACACGGCCCAGACUCCUACGGGAGGCAGCAGUAGGGAAUCUUCGGCAAUGGACGGAAGUCUGACCGAGCAACGCCGCGUGAGUGAAGAAGGGUUUCGGAUCGUAAAGCUCUGUUGUAAGAGAAGAACGAGUGUGAGAGUGGAAAGUUCACACUGUGACGGUAUCUUACCAGAAAGGGACGGCUAACUACGUG
rnacentral:rRNA from 1 species